CCUACGGGUGGCAGCAGUGAGGAAUAUUGGUCAAUGGCCGGAAGGCUGAACCAGCCAUGCCGCGUGAAGGUCAGUGCCCUAUGGGCGUUAAACUUCUUUUGUGCGGGAGCAAUAAUGGUCACGUGUGGCCAGACGAGAGUACCGUACGAAUAAGCAUCGGCUAACUCCGUGCCAGCAGCCGCGGUAAUACGGCGGAUGCAAGCGUUUCCGGGUUUAUUGGGUUUAAAGGGUGCGUAAGAUGUGAGGUACGUCAGCGGGCAAAUGCCCCCGCUCAACGGGGUGAAGUGCUAUUGAUACUGCCGUGCUGGAGUGCGGAUGCGGUAGGAGGAAUGUGUGGUGUAGCGGUGAAAUGCAUAGAUAUCACACGGAACACCGAUUGCGAAGGCAUCUCACGAAUCCGCGAUUGACGCUGAUGCACGAAAGCGUGGGUAUCAAACAGGAUUAGAUACCCGAGUAGUC
rnacentral:rRNA from 1 species